GGAACAUCUUCGUCCUGACAACGCAAGAUAUCUGUCCAGUUUGCUGCAGCCAGUUUCUCUAUAUUGUUUUUGGUGCGAGGGAAAAUGAAGACUGUCGCAGUCGUGGGUUUCCUCGCCUUCUCAGCACUUCUUCACUGCUCUCUCCAAAGAUCCUGCGACAGAAAUGUAGAAAAUCAAAACACCUAUGAAAACUUCCUAAACAUCCACCUUCUUUUUUGUCACAGGAUGUACCACAAAAUAAUGAAGGCUGGGAAAAUCUAAUGCAAAAGAAAGGACUUUGCAAUAGAAAUUUGCACACAUUUAUUGUUACUAGCACAACUGGUGUUGAAAAUAUUUGUAGACAUCAAGGCAAGUACGAGAGGAACACAAGAAAUCUGUGUAGAAGUACGAAUAAAGUAACUAUCUAUGACCUGAAUAAAAAAGAUCAGACAAAAUGCAGGUAUAGUGUCACAGAGGAAAUGCGAUAUGUAGCUCUUGGCUGUGACUGGAAAGGCACGAACUGUUUCCCUGUACAUUACUAUGCUAGUUAUGAGAAUGGACCAGGUAAUAAUGAUGAACAAUGUAAUAAGACAUAAGUAGAGUAUUUUCUUUCCAGAAAUUCAAUUAAACCUUUGAAAGAGAAUAUCAAAUUUUUGGUCAUUUUCAGCUUGUUAAAUGUUCUCCCCAUAUUUCUGUAGUUUUCCACUUCAGAGAAGCUGCCUAGGUUAAACGUGUCUCUAAAUUGUUCCUGUGUGUGUGUCCUGCAAUGGGUGUGGUGAUAAAUCAUCUGGGAUGUACAGCAGUCCUGCCUUGUGCCCUGUGCCUCUGCAAUAGGCUCCCAAUUGCUAUAGUCCUUACCAUAAAUGUGCAGCUUUCUGACAGGACAGACAGAUGACCAUGGUUGAGAAUGUUAGCAAUUCAUUGGGAAUCCUUAAAGGCAUUUUCUGUAUAUUUGAUGGCAACUAAAUGUUAUAAGAUAUUCUAAGAAUAAUCCAGCAUUUGGAAGUGCUAAAAGCAACUCAACACAUAAAGACAAAGUGUAAAAAAUCACUGAAAUGCAAUCUGAAAUGCAAUAUUAACUGUACAAAUCAUUGAGAAAAGAAUAUCUGAUCAUUUUUUGUGUCGCUGUGUUUGAAAUUAUGCUUAAAAAGACCACAUUUGAAAAAUAUUAAUAAUAAAAUCUGCUCACAUGCCUGUUUAA